CAAUAGCGUAUAUUAAAGUUGUUGCGGUUAAAAAGCUCGUAGUUGGAUUUCUGCCGAGGACGUCCGGUCCGCCCUCUGGGUGAGUACAUGGCACGGCCUGGGCAUCUUCUUGGGGAACGUAUCUGCACUUGACUGUGUGGUGCGGUAUCCAGGACUUUUACUUUGAGGAAAUUAGAGUGUUUCAAGCAGGCACACGCCUUGAAUACAUUAGCAUGGAAUAAUAAGAUAGGACCUCGGUUCUAUUUUGUUGGUUUCUAGAGCUGAGGUAAUGAUUAAUAGGGAUAGUUGGGGGCAUUCGUAUUUAACUGCCAGAGGUGAAAUUCUUGGAUUUGUUAAAGACGGACUACUGCGAAAGCAUUUGCCAAGGAUGUUUUCAUUGA
rnacentral:rRNA from 1 species